UAAAGGUGAAAAUAGACCUUAGGCCGUCUACGGAAUGAGUUUGACACCCCGCGCCUAGACGCUGAUCUUGGGGCAGUUUUGCAUUUUCCCCACUAAUGGUUAGGAAUGGGGAGGGGAAGCUGAUCCUAGAUCUGUACCUAGGGGAAACCUCACCACAAAGCAAGUUAUUAUCAGCCAAUUUAAAUUCAUUGAAAUAUUCCCAUAUUGGAAGACAAAACAUUAUGUCUUAUAAUAUAUGCAUGCUCAUAUCAAGUUGAAUACAUUAUACCUUUUGUUAUAUACCCAAUGUUAUAACAUUUUCUUCUGAGCAUGUAGAGCUGACAAACUCCAUCAUAAGUGGAUGAGGGUGAUGCCUACUCCACGAGCAGUACAAAUACAGUGGAUCAGUGUACAAGAUCCAGGUACACAAAGCUCUGACCCAGAGCAACGUACUUUACAGUAUGAUCUGAGGAUCAUGAAAUCUGAAGGUGGGGCUUUGUAUUAAACUCAGUAUGGCUUCUCUUGCCCUCUGCAGGAGACACAGGGAAAAGCUCCGGGCACACUUCUUGGAGAGCCGGAACCUGAGGGUGUGCAGAAUCAACGCCUCUGGGUUCAUGUCUAAAUCCAGCCCCAGGCCUCAGUGUGGCUGGCAGCUUCAAAAGUGCUACAAAUCUCAUGGGUCCUCCCCUCCUCAAGGGUGCAGCAGUCUGUCAGCUGGCGCACCUACAGCAGCUCCACCGAUUCUCAACAGAACACUCACCAAAGGGAAAAGCUUCAGGAGUAGCUCCCUGUCCCUCAGUCCAGCCCAAAGACACCAGGACACUCAUCACUUCAGGACCCUGCCAAUCUCUCGAGGGCCAAGGGUUGCUGUCCCAGCCUAUAAGCACCUGCAAGAGGUAGAGUCUACAGAGAUGGAGGCGGAAUCUUUAAGAGGGUAAGCACCUGGAUGUUCUGCUUUUCUUUGAAACUGAAUGAGGACAGUGUUGAUAGCAAGGUUGUUUGGUCUUGAUAAGUCAGUUUGAAUCAUGUGCUUUGAAAUAAUAUUCAUGAGUAUAAAUCUUCUGUUUACCUUGAGCCACCUUGAACUAAGUUAACUUAAAUGACGUAACACUCCAUGCCGCCCCACAACUUGUGUUGCAUUUUCAUUUUGAACGAAAACAAGUGGGUUGAGCCCUGAGCCGCCUUGGGCUAGCCUUCUGGGCAUGGUGUGUCUUCCCGCCUACUCGAACA
rnacentral:lncRNA from 1 species